rnacentral:tRNA from 2 species
ACCUACUAUAGUUUAUAUAAAACGUUGAAUUGCAAGUUCAAAAAUGAAGCUAACCUUCUAGUAAGUU